ensembl:lncRNA
CUGGACAUUUCUGUGAAUGUGUCUGAUAUCCUGGGCACAUACCAGAAUGCUUUGUGCCCUGAGUUGUCAUGUGAGCAGGCCACGGUGCCUGCCAGUCCUGUCCCUUGUGAACACCAGUUGGACCUGCUUGUUGACGUCAUUGAGUUCCUUGACCCAGACCACAUGGAGGUAUGUAGAGAGAUCAACAAUGAAGCCGCUGAGACUCUUCUGACCAUCGGGAACUCAGCUCAGAUGAUCCAGACAUCAGAAAUGCCCUGUACAAGUGAGAAAUAUCUUCAACCCUCUUAUUUGCUUCAAUCCAGAUUAACACUUUCCAUCAAAUCAAAUUUGAGAUCUUCCUUAGAUUAUUGAUUCAUUAAAAUCUUUUUCAGUUGGAAAUGAUAUAAUUGAACAGUCAAGCAUUGUACAUGAAGAGGUUGUCCAUGAGGAAGUUAUCACAGAAACAGCCGACGUUGAAUUUUCAAGCUAUGAAGCUUUUAUUCCAGAACCUUCUGCUGAAGAAACCCCCACCCAGAAUAAGGAACCUAUCAAAUCACAGACAACUGAAGAUCAUCCUUGUCCCAUUCAACAUGAGACACAGGUUCCACCAAGUAAAAGAGGUCGAUUCUCCAAACCCAAUAUUGGUCAAGAUCUGAGAACCAGACAGCAGCAAACCUGUCCAGAACUUGUCACAGGUUCUUUUGGGACCUCUAUGGGUCCAUCUUCCACAGAACAGGAUAGAAAUGCAGCAGAACCCAUGCAAGAAGACUGUGUUCCUGUGGAUCACCUGCCAGACUUCUCUACCGUCCACCCUGAGGUACUACAGCCGGAUCCAUCAUCUGAAAGAAGAGAAGACCGUCCCAAAGUCAUCCCUGAAAGAGUGAAUAAAGAAGAUAAUCGAUCUGUCUCAUCUUUGAAAAGAAAGAAUGAUGAUAUAAUCACAGAGGAAAAUAUAAAAGAACAAGAAGGGGCGAGAUUAGAACCACAGCUGACUAAAAGUGUGAGUGAGUCUCAGAGCACAUCAGAUGAGCCCUCUAAACCUGUCAGGAGGUGCCGCGGACCCAAACCUAAACCAAACCUGAUUCAGACAUCCAGGCGCACACAGACCACAACAGUAUUAAAUCAAAAGCAGCCUGCUGCCGAGUGGUCCACGAACACUUUCACUAAAAGUCCUGAAGAGGGUGCGGUAGUUACCACAGAACUUGAUGUAUUCACAAGCACAGCUCAACAUGUGGUGACAUCGAGCAUUGAAUCAGCACAGACCGUCAAAGAUGUCACCCUGCCAGUUGUUUCUGAAAACAAGUCCAGACAGAAAACUGUAGUCAUGCUGGAUGAGAACAACAGAACCAAUCCUGAGGAUGUUUUUGAAGACAGCACUUUGAAUCGUUCUGGAUGUGAAUCAGAAGACACAUCUGCUGAGCCCACGCCCGAGGAACCUGUGUUUAUACUGUCUCUCACAGAAAUCCCACCCACCUUAGAUGAGGGGGCGGACUUUCGGACAGAGCCCCUCCCACCUGCAGCAGCGCCCGAGUCGCAUUCUCAUGGUCAAAGCGCUAGUGAGAGCAGGGAGGCAUCUCACCUUCUGAUCACAGAUGCUUUAGUUCCUGUGUCAGAGGAUGAGGAAAAGAAAAGUGAAUGGAUGGGUGUGGGCAAAUCAGUGAAAGGAGAAUUGAAAUGCAAGACACCAGCCUCCACAUCUCAGGGGAGUACCAUAGAUGAGAGUCGGGCAGAACAUCAUGUGGAAGGAUUGGAAAGCCUUGUAGCAGAGGGGACUGAUGAUAAGGAACAUCUGGAGAAGAAAAGAAAACUACCUGACAGUACAAGGAGAGCAAAGCUGCCAGUUAAACCCAUCCCAGUUUCAAGGAGAAAUGCUCAAGGUGUUGAUGCUAAAGAGGACACAGCAGCGCUUUCUUUAAAACAAACUACCUCAUUACCCAUUUCAACACAAGAGACGAGAUCAGUUCCAGAGCAAACUGUGCCUGCUGUCAUUUCAUCAACCAACAACUCAAUAUCAGCCACAAUCUCAGACAGAGGAGCAAUUACAGAUCAUUCUGCAACCAGCGACAAUACGCGUUCGCCUGUCCCUGAAGCGUCUGUCCAGGACGGUCCCUCCCAAGGCAUCAUGGGAAAAGUGGACCUCUCAGGCAAAGAGACAGUUGAGUUAGCAAGUGGAUCAGACUUGCAAGGUGUCAGUCAAAUCACGCCUAUUGCCACAAGUGGGCCGCUUACAAGGUGAGUGGCUCUAAAUUUUGUCUAAAUGUGUGUGUGUGUGUGUGUGUGUGU